AUUGAACGCUGGCGGCAUGCCUUACACAUGCAAGUCGAACGGUAACAGGUCUUCGGAUGCUGACGAGUGGCGAACGGGUGAGUAAUACAUCGGAACGUGCCUAGUAGUGGGGGAUAACUACUCGAAAGAGUGGCUAAUACCGCAUGAGAUCUACGGAUGAAAGCAGGGGAUCGCAAGACCUUGUGCUACUAGAGCGGCCGAUGGCGGAUUAGGUAGUUGGUGGGAUAAAAGCUUACCAAGCCGACGAUCUGUAGCUGGUCUGAGAGGACGAUCAGCCACACUGGGACUGAGACACGGCCCCGACUCCUACGUGAGGCAGCAGUGGGGAAUUUUGGACAAUGGGCGCAAGCCUGAUCCAGCAAUGCCGCGUGCAGGAUGAAGGCCUUCGGGUUGUAAACUGCUUUUGUACGGAACGAAAAGCCCCGGGUUAAUACCCUGGGGUCAUGACGGUACCGUAAGAAUAAGCACCGGCUAACUACGUGCCAGCCGCCGCAGUAA
rnacentral:rRNA from 1 species